rnacentral:lncRNA from 1 species
AAAAAAAGUCAACAUUAAUCCAAAUAGUAUGGCAUAGAAGUUGCCAGUAGGAAAUUCUAGAUGGAAGUUAAAGCUGUCUCAGACUCCUUGGUUCUUGCCUUGUUCAGAUGGAUUCUGAUUAAUGACAUAUCUUAUUAGAAAUUCACAAACUUAAAUACAUGCAUUUAUUUAAAGAAUAACUAAUAGACACAUAAGAUAGAAUAUGGAGUUAAAAGGAGGGAAAAGCCAGGUAUGGUGGACCUGUAGCUGACCCCCAAGCCCAGUUACAGCCAGAGAUUUUGCAGGAGGCUGAUUCCACCUUCAGCUUCAAGUCUAAACCCAAAUUUGAUUAAGCCAAGCAGUAUCCCAUCCCCUUUCCCAAAAAAUUAUUUCAAGUAUGGGCUUUUGAGCCUAUUAAGGCCAGUAAAUAUGUCUGAUUUUCAUCUGGUGGCAGUUUUGACCCCCAGGGACAUUUGGCAAAGCUUGGAGGCAUUUUGGGUUGUCUCAACCCUAAGGCAGCUGCUGGCAUCUAGUAGGAGGAGGUCAGAGAGGCUGCUAAACACUGGUCAAUGCACAAUUCAACCCCCACAACAAAGAAUUACCCAGCCCAAAAUGUGGAUAAGCUGUGGGUAACCGACUUGCUCUCCUGCAGAGGGUGUGAAUAGGAAGUUUCCAACUUGGACGGCCAUCACUGGCGGUAUCCACCUUGGGAUGAAGCUGAUACUGCAGAGAGCAGCCAGCAGGGUUGGAAAGUACCAGGGUGUGUGAUGCUGCUGCUAAGCCCCAGCCUGUUCUUCCUCUGGGUGCCCAGGGAUGUGAGACUUCCAGUGCGCUGUCAGUUAAGCCGCUGUUUUACUGGCGUCUCUGCUACUUGCAGCUAUGAGCAUCUUGAUAGAUUAAGAAAGAGAGAAAAGAAGAAGAAACAAGAAGGGGUGGGUGGAAAACCACCCAAAACUCCAUCUCCUAAUCUCUAGAAUCCGUGAAUAGGUCCCCUCAUGUGUCAAAGAGGAAUUUUGCAAAUGUGAUUAAAAUAAGGAGCUGGAGAAGUUGUCUGAGUUAUCUGGGUGGGUUCAGUGAAACCUCCAGGAUUCUAUGAGGAAAAGAGGGAGGCAGAAGGUCAGGCAAGCAGAGGAAGGGCCCAAGCUAAGGAAUGCAGGUGACUUCCAGAAGGUAGAAAAGACAAGGGAACAGAUUAUUUUUCCCCCCAGAGCCUCCAGAAAUAAUGCAGCUCUAACAUACCUAAAUUUUAGCCUGCAAGACCCACUCAGACUACUGAUUUCCGGAGCAGUAAGACAAUAGUUGGUAUUAUUUUAAACCAUUAAAUUUGUGGUAAUUUACUAUAGUAAUGAUCCAAAAUGAACACAGCAUGGUAACUAGAAAACACAAGAUAUCGGAAUGAACACCAUUAACUAAAAUUUGUGGGAGGCUGUGGAUUUGGGCUGGAUACCUGCACUGGGCCCAACAGACCAAGUCAAUGUGGAGUUUAAUGGUGGAACCUGAGCUUUGGAUGGUUAAAUGCUAACCAAUUGACUUACUGAUUGACUAAGCUAUAGCCAACUAUUUUUUAUGCACCACUUCCAUUGUUCUGUAAUGACCCUCAGAUGCCAUUGUUGGACUUCUGAGAAUCCACUCUGGUUCUUGGAGCUGCUUAAUUCAUGAGUCAUUUAAUUUUGUUUUUACUUUUGUUUUUGCUCAGAUAAACUCUAUUUGACAUAAAUGGCCUAAGGAAUUGUCCCACCCACUUUAUGGGGGAUUGAACCCAGGGGCACUUUAUCACUGAGCUACAUCCCCAGCCAUUUUUAAUUUAUUUUGAGACAGGGUCUUGCUAAAUUGCACAAGCUAGCAACAAACUUCAGAUCCUCCUGUCUUAACCUCCCAAGUAGCUGGGAUUACAGGUGUGCACCACUCUUACUAGCUCAGGAAUUUUCUCUUUUAAUGGUACAAGCAUUUUGGUAAUUAAAUAUGAAAAGAUUGAAUCCAACUCCUAAAUAACACAUCCUUAUCAGACUGGAUUUUUUAAACACUCCAGCAAUGUGCCAUUCAUGAGAAGUAUACCUAAAAACAAAAAGGUUACAGGGAAACAGAUACCUGUUGUUUCAGUUAACUAUUACGGUGCUAAACCACCAACCCCCAAUUUAAAGACUUACAAUAACAACGAUUUCAUCUGCUCAUGAUCUGCAGGUCAGUAAUUUACCUGCAUUCCGCUGGGCAGGCCCGCCAGGUUCCGCUGAGUUCGCUCAUGGCUGCAGUCAUCUAAGAUGGCCUUACACAGUUGGCACUUGCUCUCAGCCGCCUUCUCUCCAAGUCCUCCCAGAGGCUAGCACUGGCUUCUGCACAUGGGGGCAGCAGCACACCAGGUGAUGAGCUCUGAGUUGUAAGACCUCUGAGGACCAGCCUCAGCUGUGACAAGUAUCAGCUCUACCGCAUGUCACCAAGGCAGCCACGAUUCAGCAGAAGGGGAAAUGGAAAAUACUAACACAGAAAACAGGCGUAGCAAUAUAAAUAUCUUCCAAAGUUGAGGUCAA